rnacentral:rRNA from 1 species
GAUGAACGCUGGCGGCGUGCCUAAUACAUGCAAGUCGAGCGAAUGGAUUAAGAGCUUGCUCUUAUGAAGUUAGCGGCGGACGGGUGAGUAACACGUGGGUAACCUGCCCAUAAGACUGGGAUAACUCCGGGAAACCGGGGCUAAUACCGGAUAACAUUUUGAACCGCAUGGCUCGAAAUUGAAAGGCGGCUUCGGCUGUCACUUCUGGAUGGACCCGCGUCGCAUUAGCUAGUUGGUGAGGUAACGGAUCACCAAGGCAACGAUGCGUAGCCGACCUGAGAGGGUGAUCGGCCACACUGGGACUGAGACACGGCCCAGACUCCUACGGGAGGCAGCAGUAGGGAAUCUUCCGAAAUGGACGAAAGUCUGACGGAGCAACGCCGCGUGAGUGAUGAAGGCUUUCGGGUCGUAAAACUCUGUUGUUAGGGAAGAACAAGUGCUAGUUGAAUAAGCUGGCACCUUGACGGUACCUAACCAGAAAGCCACGGCUAACUACGUGCCAGCAGCCGCCGUAA